GUCAAUAGUGAAUGCCAUUUUAAUGAUCAAACUUGG
rnacentral:sRNA from 1 species